GCAACUCAAUUUAGCUAUACGCAAUUUAACCCCUUGUUCAUAUAACAUUUGCUUCACAACUACAACUUGCCGUGCCAAGUUCUUUUUAACUUUCACAGAGGAGCAAUAGGAAGCACCCUGACUGGAACAUCACAUGCGCACGGCGCAUGAAAGGAGGGCAGCGGGUGAUUAAACCGCUCCGCACCCAUAUACCGAGCAGCAGUGAUAUCGGUGAGGUGAGGUGCCUGCGCAGAGCCCAAAGGGUACUAAAGCACAGUACCCACCCCGACCACAGCAUCUUCACCCUGCUGCCGUCUGGAAAGAGAUACAGCAGUAUCCGGUGUCGUACCACCAGACGACAGAGCAGCUUCUUCCCUCAGGCUGAGAGACUCCUAACUUCAUCCCCAGCACUCCACCAUCGCCUGAUUUCCUAAGGCAGCAGCUCCUGGACUGAACCUGGUAGGCUACUAAACCUCCAGACGCACUCUACCAGUGAAGGAGAGCUCAUAAGCACAGUUCACACUGGGAUUCACUAAGCUCAGAAAAUAAAUGAUAUGGGCCAGACCAGGGCUGAUACACAGAUCAGGUUUCUGCUGGAUCUAAAUGAAGCUGCCUUUCUAUCUUAGGAGGACCCUUAGUUUCAAGAAGUGUGUGGGAUUAGAGUAAAAUUGGACAGAAGGGGAAAAGGGAGGAUGACACGUUAUUCAAAGACUACUAUGACUACUACCCUGUUUGUGCUUCAGCAUUUUUCAGAGCAUAAAACAGAAUCAUAAUGAAAACAUGGAAGAAAUUGGAUAUUAAGGCAUCAGAAGGGUGACCAAAUAUCAAGGUCUUGCUUCAUGCUCUGUGUUCACUGGGAGUGUCUGAGUUGAAACAGUUUGAUGAUGAAUACACGGGGGGAGCUCCUUGGUUUUCUGGCACCAAACACAACAACACAUGCAAGACACACAGCUGCGGGACACUUUUUCUCCAGGGUCUGUCCCUCACUCUUUCCCACCCCAGAACCCCCCCCCAAAAAAAAGCAUUACCUCACAUCACAUUAGGCAGAGCUGGAGGUAUCACCUGGGGAGUGCAUUUGUGUAUGUGUUUGAGCUCUGUAUCUAUGUGUCUGUACAGUAUGUGAGUGAGAGGGAAAGUAAUAGGAAAAGAAACGGUUUCUGAGACAUUUCUGUUCAAAUGUGCCAUUUGGGUGGAGCACAGCAGACUUAAUCCUUCUUUCUCUCUAAAUUCAGCUCAGUUCUCCAGCUACUUGCAAAGCCACAAAAAAUGAAUUGGAAAAAAAUCACUUUCUUUUUUUCUGAUAUUAAAAAUUCAUGGAUUGAUAUAUUUGUCUCAAAGUGAGACAGAUAGCUUUGCAACAAGACCAAAGCACAAGACACAGGACAAAAAUGUAAGAAAAGCUGCUAUAAGACAAGCUUUUAACAUCAUGUAACUAAUGCAUGUUUACUGGAUCAUCUGAGCUCGACGACCCAACCAUUCUCACAGCAUUAAACAGCAAGGCCACCACUCAGCAUCAGCAUAAUUAUUACCAUAACCCAAGAGGAGUAUCAUUUCACUCCCACCUUCAUAUAACAUGGUGAAAUUGACUGAAUAUUUUGUAGUGUAUGAAUACUAUUACAGCUAAGAAAAAGUGGAGGGUGUAUCCUUAGAUACACUUGAAUUAUUGUGAUUUUGCUGAUAGUAACCUAAACGAAGGGUAUGAGAAAAGGGAAGUUAAUUGUUCGUACAGGAGAGGUUGCUGUUAACAAAACCACAAAAUACACAGAGCAUAACUCAGUACAUUAUGACUGCUGCUGCUCAUCUAAACGUCCUUGAGGCUGAGGCUUAUGAGAGUGACUGUGUAUAACAUCAGUCAAACAGCUGUGAUUUAAAUCUCAGUGCGUCUCCAGGCCCACCCAAAGAGACUCUCUUAACAUCGCUCACUAUGUGCUUAUUAUGCUCUCCUUCUUGCAGCUUUCACCUAAUUCUUACUGUCUCUCUUUUUGCUUUGUAAUCCAACUCAUCACUUCCAAUACUGUAUGUGUCUGUUAGACCUCAGAUGACCCCUUUCAUCUACAGUACCUACACAAAGCUUAUUUCAUAACAGGGAUAUGAAAAAAAAUACACAUUCAGAUUUUUCCUUUGAUACUAGCAGUUUAUAAUACAAUGAGGAGGGCUUUUACAACUGAAAGGUUAUCAGAGUCACUUAUCAUUGUAUCCUUUGUCUUGCAAAGCUAACAGAACUACGCUGUUUAAAGUAAUCUACCAGGACUGUGUGCUCACACAUAUGAAAGUGGCCAAAGUUGAGCCAGCCUCAACUUUUUUGCCAGAUAACCCUGCUUUUUUCUGUGGUAGCCCUCUGCGUUGGCACAGUGGGGUUGCCGACGUUGAAAUGAAUGAGGUCAGUCUGAACACAGCCUCAUUAAUAUUAGGACAGCUGAGGUGGACGCAAAUUUGGUCAAUAGUUUCAGUGGUGUUCUGCAGUGGCAGUCCUAGAUGUGUUGGUGCCCAAGGCAAGGUUGCCCCAGAGCGAUUGUUUUUCUAAGCAGAUAUUGCCAUAUCUGAAAAGUGUAUAACCCUGCCACUACCAUGGGAUGGAAAUAGACCAAAAACAGAUGAGUAUACAUGGUCACAUGGAGUUUUGUCCCACUAUGACAAAUGUUUUUCAGGGUUAUAGACUUCAGUUCUAAAACCUGACUGUUAUCCAGAGCUCCUGCCCCAGAUGUGACGUCUCCGGCUACAGCUUUAACUGUUUUCAUUUUCUUUAGCAGGUUCAUGACAUAGCGUUGAGGGGUGUGUGUGUGCGCACGUGUGUGUGUGAGGGUGAUUAUGGUGUCAUGACGUCUGCUGGUGUUAGGGCUGAACCCGAGAAACCAUUUAGACACAGCAACCCCUACAACGGCCCUUCCCAAACACACACACUUGCCUGCUUCCCUCACUUAAACACACUUACAAGGGGACUCACUUCACAAGCACGUUCACACACACUCUCACACGCAUGAUUACCAAUAAAUGGGCCUUCAUAGUGGGUGAGUGUGUUUAGAGGCACUGCAGACCUUCAACAGCUGAUGUUUGGAGAGCUUUCGGUCAGUAACACCCACAUCAAACUGAAAGUCAACUAGCUGAGAGACUAUGACUCAGUGUGUAUAUAUAUAUAUUUAUGUUUCAGAUGUGUGUGUGUGCGCUCAAAUAUUUUUUGUUGGCUUUGCGUGUAUGUAUAAACAGUGUUUAUGUGACUGAUACUGAAUCUCAAAGAAAACUGCUUUUAUGACUGUGAAAUAAACUGCACUGCCCUACACUACAAUAAA